GACGAACGCUGGCGGCGUGCUUAACACAUGCAAGUCGAACGGAAAGGCCCCUUUGGGGGUACUCGAGUGGCGAACGGGUGAGUAACACGUGAGUAACCUGCCCUUGACUUCGGGAUAACUUCAGGAAACUGGGGCUAAUACCGGAUAGGAAUCCUUGCUGCAUGGUGGGGGUUGGAAAGCUUCGGCGGUUUUGGAUGGACUCGCGGCUUAUCAGCUUGUUGGUGGGGUAGUGGCUUACCAAGGCUUUGACGGGUAGCCGGCCUGAGAGGGCGACCGGCCACAUUGGGACUGAGAUACGGCCCAGACUCCUACGGGAGGCAGCAGUGGGGAAUAUUGCACAAUGGGCGGAAGCCUGAUGCAGCAACGCCGCGUGCGGGAUGACGGGCUUCGGGUUGGAAACCGCUUUCAGCAGGGGCGAAGCUUGUGGUGACGGUACCUGCAGAAGAAGCACCGGCUAACUACGUG
rnacentral:rRNA from 1 species